rnacentral:rRNA from 1 species
GGCCAGACUCCUACGGGAGGCAGCAGUGAGGAAUAUUGGUCAAUGGCCGGAAGGCUGAACCAGCCAAGCCGCGUGAAGGACGAAGGUGCCAAGCAUUGUAAACUUCUUUUGUCAAGGGACAAAAUCAGGCUCGGGAGCCUGACCGAGGGUACUUGAAGAAAAAGCAUCGGCUAACUCCGUGCCAGCAGCCGCGGUAAUACGGAGGAUGCGAGCGUUAUCCGGAUUUAUUGGGUUUAAAGGGUGCGUAGGCGGACUUUUAAGUCGGGGGUAAAAGCCGGGGCCGCACCCCCGGCGAGCCGUUGAAACUGGCUGUCUUGAGAUGUCGAGAGGUAUGCGGAAUGCGCAGUGUGGCGGUGAAAUGCUUAGAUAUUGCGCAGAACUCCGAUUGCGAAGGCAGCAUACCGGCGCCCAACUGACGCUGAAGCACGAAAGCGUGGGUAUCGAACAGGAUUAGAUCCCCGGGUA